rnacentral:lncRNA from 1 species
GCACAUACUCCACCCAUCGAUGAGGCUCCAUUGGUAUCCACAUCACACGAUCCUAGUGAGAGAAGAUUUUUAUUAUGUCAAUUAUUUAUUUAUUUAUCUUUUGUAUAGUUAUUGUACACUCUUAUAUAUUCGUAAUAUAUUUUGAUUGUAGGUGCAUUAUUCAAUAAGAUAUUUGGUUGUCUCACAUACAUGCCGCAAGUGUGGAACUGCCAGCAUCAAAUCAUGGUGGAGUACGAUCAAUAGGGGAGGCCAGUAGGAGAGACCACAUGAGGGAUGCAUUCUUUUUUUGGAGUGCUUGUGAGGCAAUCUGACAUCAUUCUCGUACUGUCCGUAGACUAACAAUUGAUGGACCCUCAGGUUAAGGAACAGAUGUGGGAGGAGAUUUGAGUAAAUGUAUUUUAAUUAUAUAUUGCAUGUGAUAUGUUUACACUAUGUUUGAUUAAAAUAAUUUUGUAACUGACUUUUGAUAAUUUUGUACAGAGAAAGUUUGACUUCUUAGAUCAUGAAAGCGCUCGAGAUGUCCGACUGUAA